AAUUAUUCUGUGCUCUGGCACUCAGAUAAAGUGCUCUGAAAUCGGAGUAGAUAGUUAAUUCUGGCUAUGUCCAUUGAAAUACAAAAUGACUAUACCACUUAGCUAAGAAUGAUGUGAAUAAUCAAGUCAAUAAACGUUGGGUAGUAAGUUAGAUAGUUAAUAUACUGCCUGGUAAGUUCGAUGUAUUAGUAGUCAGCUAAUGUUAGGUAACUAGCUAACAUACUGGUACAUAAAUGCUGUAAUGCUAUGCUGUUCGUAAGGAUAGCGUAGCCAACAAAAUGUCAGCCAACAUAACGUGUAACGUAACUUAUUUGAGAAGUCAUUACUUUAUUACAUUGCUAAACAUUUGUCAUAAUUAGUGAAAGCAAUGAAUUUGUAUCCGCUCUGGUCGGACUUCGGCUGCAAAUUUUCCGCCAUUUUCUUCAAAUCUGAGAACUUUGAAGCCACGCUCAUUUUCUGAAGAAUUGCAUUAUGGGACCUAAAAAUAACAAAUAGUGUCAACUGCUUGUAUACUUCAUAUUUUGUUGAAUUUAGUACGACAUCCGGGAACUUUUGGCAUACUAACUAUAUCCAUACUAUGACCAAUAAGCAUACUAUAUACUCAAUUGACGUCACAAAUAGUGCAGUUAGUAUGAGUAUUCGAACACAGCUAAAGACAUAAACCAAACACUGACACAACACAGAGGUGUCUGUUCAAAGUGCCUGUUGAACGUUCUCUCUCUUUAUGUUGCUUUGGUUACAUGCACAAGUGCCAUUUGUUUCCUCUAAUUGUAAUACAAACAAAUUAAAACAGGAUCUACUGCCGCUAACAAACAGUCACAUUAAACAUACUUAAUUUUCCUGUAAAUGACUGAUUUGGGACCGGGACCUGUUCAGGAGGAGAUAACGUUCAUAUGAAAAUGUUUUGUCGAGAGUGAACCGUGUCAGGUUUACUUAUUACAUAGAAUUAUUAUUUUCCCCCUAAUAAGAAUAAUGCUAAGAUUUCCACAUUUGCAGCAUAUAGUUUUUUUUCAAUAUGAUUGUAUGGGUCAUUUUGAGGUCAGAAUAAUGCAAUAAUCCUGUGUCAAUACUUUCGUUGAUGAAGUGUGAGUGAUUGCUGAAGGUAGGCAACGUUAUUUUUCAAGUAACAUUUAAUCUGCAGCAAAUGGCCCAAGCAUUGCUGAGGCCUGGGUAUGUAUUUUACCACAUAUGUUAUAGCAAUCUGUCAGUUGAUGGCACAGUCAAUGACGUGGCACACAUCGAUUGGUUGAUGCAUGCAAUGUCUGAUGCGCUCGAGAAAAUACGAGACCUGACUGAGAAAAUUGUUUUGAAUGAGCAUCAAACUCUAAAUUCUAAUUUGGAAACUCUGGCAUCAUUCUAGCGCUCAAAUUUUCUGACCUGAAGAUCACUAACAUCAUGAUUUGAACUUGUUUUUUCCCCAAGUUUCCAGUUGUCUUGAAAGCACCAUUAGCAGGGGAACACCACCAAAAUUAAAUAAAUGUUUAUUGGUCGCAUACACAUAUUUUGCAGAGGUUAUUGCAGGUGUAGCUAAAUGCUUGUGUUCCUAGCUCCAACAGUGCAGUAAUAUCUAACAAUACACACAUCUAAAGUAAAAGACUGGAAUUAAGAAAUAUAUACAUUUUGGGACGAGCAGUGUAGGAGUCGAGUUUAUACAUGUGUAAAUAUGAUCCUUAACGGUCCUCAAAGCACUUAAUGAUGACAGAAGUGAGUGCUACGGGGCGAUAGUCAUUUAGUUCAGUUACUUUCGCUUUCUUGGGUACAGGAACAAUGGUGCACAUUUGAAGUAAGUGGGGACAGCAGACUGGGAUAGGGAGAGAUUGAAUAUGUUCGUAAACACUCUAGCCAGCUGGUCUACGCAUGCUCUGAGGACGUGGCUAAGGAUGCCGUCUGGGAUGGCAGCCUUACGAGGGUUAACACUCUUAAAUAUCUAACUCACGUCGGCCACGGAUAACGAGAGCUCACAGUCCCCGGGAGUGGCCAGCGAUGGUGGCACUGUGUUAUCCUCAAAGUGGGCGAAGGUGGUGUUUAGCUUGUCUGGGAUCAAGACGACAAUCGUGGCUGGUUUUCCCUUUGUAAUCCGUGAAUGUCUCUGUACUGAUGUGUUGCCUGUUUGAUUGCCUUAUGGAGGGCAUGACUGGACUGUUUGUAUUCAACCAUAUUCCCAGUCAUUUUGUCGUGGUUAAAUACGGUGGUUUGUGCUUUCAGUUUUGCACGAAUGCUGCCAUCUACCCAUGGUUUUAGGUUUGGAUAGGUUUUAAAUCAUCACAGUGGGAACAACAUCCCCUAUACACUUCCUGAUAAACUCAGUCACCGUGUCAGUGUAUACGUCAAUUCUUAAAGGCAACCCGGAACAUAUCCCAGUCCGCGUGAUCAAAACAAUCCUGAAGCAUGUAUUCCGAUUGAUCAGAUCAGCGUUGAAUAGACCUUAGCUUGGGUACUAUGGUGUCAUCAGGUGCACCUACCUUUGACACUAAACUGUGCAUAUGGAGCCGUUUACCCUCUUUAAUUCCAUUGAAAGACAGACAUCAGACACACCUAAAUAGUGUACUAUAAUUAACUUGAAAGAAAUCUGUGAAUGCAUAGUUCAAAACAGUAAAAGAAAUGUCAAGCAAUGUCAGUGUUAUGUCAUGCUUAGUGUUGGACUCUGGGGAUCUCCGCAUUAUUCUUUAUCCACGCUGUCAUCUGCUCUUUGAGGGUGAAUCUCUCUGGGUGAAUCUGGAAGAGUGGUGCUUGUCCAUUUAAAAAAAAAAAACGUGUUCCUCUGCUGAGACUUAGGGUUCUAUUCAGUCUGUAAACUGAAGCGUAACAGAUUCUGCGAUUAGACAUUUAAAGGUCAUUUCUGGUUGAGCCGUCAUAUGCAGCUUUUACCAUGAAUGCAACCACCACUAAUGCGGGAACAUUUCCUUUACAUUUCAAUCACGCUGUAAAGCUGAACAUCUGCAAUGCGGAAUGAAUAGUGCCGUGAAGCUCACUGUAAAGUCUGGUAUACAGUAGGUCUAUUGACAUGUCUGUAGAGAGUUGUCGCAAUGACAUCAUGAACAUUCUAUUGUCGUCCGACAUAAAAGUUGUCAUUAGUAUAAUGUAUUAACACAAAAACGACAGCCUGGUGGUCUAAAAUAGCAUAACUGCGGUAUUUUAAUAUCAAUAAACCCAUCGGUUUUAUGAAUUUAGUAUAUGUCAAUCUAGCAAUCCAAGCAACUACUGUAAAAGCAACUUUCUAAACAAUGUUUUUGUUCGUUUCUAGCUUAUCUGGCUAGCCAGUUCAAAUAAUGACCAUAUCAUAGCUUUAGCUCAUUGUUAUUCAUUAUUACAGGAAAAAUGAACUCACAACAAGAUAAUUAUUGAAUUUUGAUUCAUUUUUUAUUUAACCUUCCCUAUCUGACUGAGUGCCUGGGGACAGUUCAUGUCAGAACAUGUUCAUAGGCUUGAGCAGUGCAUGCCUCACUCCAAGCCUUUUAUGCAACUCCCUGACAGAUCUCAGCCAGUGUUUCUUGGCUGUGCUCGCCUUUUCGGUCACACUUUAUUUAGAUGUUCCAUCAGUAAAUGCUCUACAGAUGGUCAUACUAUACAAAAUAAUACAGUAUAUGGCAUGUGUCCAAAAGCGAUAAUCUAUUUUUUGUGUCACAUGUCUAUGCCCUUUUAUGGACUUCCUGUCUGGAUGUUCUCACGCUAUCGAGUGAGUGCUUUUGGGUAAAGCAAAUGUUUGCAAUAAAAAUGUCCUGGCUAUUAUGUGUAGUGACCUUGAACUGAAAUAAAAUGUGAAACAGUUGGGAAAUGUUGUACUGAACCUAUGGAUCUGCUGUUUAUGGAGCUUGUAUAUGAAAAAGUAAUUUCCGGGGUAGAUCUGCCUGAGUAUAAUUCAUCUUACCUGUCCUGUGCCAUGUCUAACACAGAAACCACAGAAGACCUGUAUCCUAGACCAAUUCUAGGUGUACUUCAUGUCUUUGACACAAUGACAAAACCAUCUUAAGCCAUUUUCUCCUGCGUUUCGCUUGAGAGAGUGGCUUAAGAUAAGACUUGCUCCAUGUUAGAUCAAACAGGCCCUGAGUGGAACAUCCCUGCCUGGGUACACAUUGGAAGAGGAAGUCUGUGGGUGAGAUGAUUUGAAAGCCAUAAGAAUUUCUUCAGUGGUAUAUAGUCCAGACUCCAAAGUGACAAUUUUAGGUUGUGCCGAAUUCAAUAGCUCAAAUGCAACCAAAUCUGUUUGUGCAUGCUUUGGAAAAUACAUACGAACUGAGGUCAACUAUUUUGUACCUGUCUUUAGCUUUAGGAGGGGAGAUUAUUUUCAAGUGCUUGCUUGAUAUGAUAAAACAAGUACAGCAGUUUUUUCACCAUUGUGAACAUUUACAACGAUGGGCUCUUCUGUCCUCAAGACAUAAUUUGGGUUUAAAGGCAAGAAGGAAUAGAAAACAUACGAAACCUGGAAGGCCCUGGAGAUCCAGCGUGGAAGAGACAUUGUCUGACGCGCUUACAGCUUGUAGAUGGGGAUUUAGACUAAUGGGGGUGUUGGUUUACAAUAGAUCCUUGCCAAGGCCUUUUUCUCUAAGAAAGGAAUUAAAGAAUAAUUUAAAAUAAACAUAAGGUAUAGUUUCAGAAUGCAUAGUACACUUUUUAAUAAUUGUAACAUGUAGGCAUUCAUGUAUUAACAUUUUAGACAAAAAUAAAAGGAUUUAAAAAGAUAAUUGUAUUUACCUUCAAUGAAAUAUCAGGCUCUGUCUCUCCGCAAGGUUGUGUGUGAGGCAAGGUGUUAGGUCACAAGCUAUGGGUUUACACACAGAGGAAAAUACUCAAUGACUUUUUUCUAUGAACAAAAUACAUUUAAAAGUAAUUGUAAUGUAUGUUUAAAUGUGGGUCAUAACAUUUUGAAGGAAAAAAUAAAGGGUUUUAAAAAGCAGCGUGUAUUUACAUUAAUGGAAUUAUAUAUAUCUUCCUCUGGCCUUCUGUCUCUUGUCCUCGGGCCCUGAGAGAGAGAGAACCCUGAUCAAGGAGCAAAGGCCUUAUUUUCUAUGAAUACAUUUUUAAAAAGUCUUUCCUAAAACAAAAUUACUAUACAUAAACAUUUAAUGGGUAUUAAAUGUAGCAUUGUUUAAUAAUAUGUAUGAUUUAUAUACAUUUAGUAAAAAAAUGUUUUUUUAAAAAAGAGGUAUAGUUUUAUAUUGUAUAGUAAACUUUUAAUAAUAUGUAUAUGUUUAAAGGUCUGUACUAAAUAUUUAGAAUUAAAUUAAGUGGUUUAAAAAUGUAUUUACCUUCAUAGAGGUUUCAUUGUCUGUCUGUCUCCCCAAUCUGUUUCUCUCUACACAAGAGAAAGUUGUUCGUAGGGGUGUCUGUGUGUCUUUCAAAACAACUGUCCAGUGGGCCUCCGAGGAUGUCCGGACCCCCAAACAGUUGUGACCAUCCUGGGCGUCCGGAUCUCUGUCUCUCACCGCAGCAGUUGCCAAUAAAUUUGACAUUCCAACCUUAAAAGUCUAAGUCCAUGAUGAAUCGAAGACUGAAGUUGAUGAGGUGUUUGAGUUUCUUCUUAAGAAACAAGACCUUGGUGUGCUGGAAAUUUGUUUACACCAAGAUAAUCCUGAUGGAGCAUUAUUACAAUGCAGAAGAUGGGAGUGGAUAUCUAGCAUGGAGACUGAAAUCAGAGGGACGACAGAAGACCAUUUGAUUGUAGUUAGUCUCAUUCAUGACACAUUCAUUCACAUAAUUGUAUGCAAACAAUUGUAUAAGCAAGUGUUUUAGUCUUUUAGUGUGAAUUGCUGGAGUCAAAUAAAUCAUACUUUUCACCUGGUGACA